GACGAACGCUGGCGGUGUGCCUAAUACAUGCAAGUAGAACGCUGAAGGAGGAGCUUGCUCUUCUGGAUGGGUUGCGAACGGGUGAGUAACGCGUAGGUAACCUGCCUGGUAGCGGGGGAUAACUAUUGGAAACGAUAGCUAAUACCGCAUAACAGUAGAUGUUGCAUGACAUUUACUUAAAAGGUGCAAUUGCAUCACUACCAGAUGGACCUGCGUUGUAUUAGCUAGUUGGUGGGGUAACGGCUCACCAAGGCGACGAUACAUAGCCGACCUGAGAGGGGGAUCGGCCACACUGGGACUGAGACACGGCCCAGACUCCUACGGGAGGCAGCAGUAGGGAAUCUUCGGCAAUGGACGGAAGUCUGACCGAGCAACGCCGCGUGAGUGAAGAAGGUUUUCGGAUCGUAAAGCUCUGUUGUAAGAGAAGAACGAGUGUGAGAGUGGAAAGUUCACACUGUGACGGUAUCUUACCAGAAAGGGACGGCUAACUACGUG
rnacentral:rRNA from 1 species